rnacentral:rRNA from 1 species
UACGUAGGGGGCAAGCGUUGUCCGGAAUCAUUGGGCGUAAAGCGCGUGUAGGCGGUCCGGUAAGUCGGCUGUGAAAGUCCAGGGCUCAACCCUGGGAUGCCGGUCGAUACUGCCGGACUAGAGUUCGGAAGAGGCGAGUGGAAUUCCCGGUGUAGCGGUGAAAUGCGCAGAUAUCGGGAGGAACACCAAUGGCGAAGGCAGCUCGCUGGGACGUUACUGACGCUGAGACGCGAAAGCGUGGGUAGCAAACAGG